AUUGAACGCUAGCGGCAUGCUUUACACAUGCAAGUCGAACGAGUGGAGGACGGGUGUGUAAUAUAUCGGAACGUCCCCAGUAGCGGGGGAUAACUACUCGAACGAGUGGCUAAUACCGCAUACUAUUGGAGCGGCCGAUAUCGGAUUUGCUGGUUGGGGGGGUAAAGGCUCACAAAGGCCACGAUCCGGAGCUGGUUUGAGAGGAAGACCAGCCACACUGGGACUGAGACACGGCCCAGACGCCUACGGGAGGCAGCAGUGGGGAAUUUUGGACAAUGGGGGAAACCCUGAUCCAGACAUCCCGCGUGUAUGAGAAGGCCUUCGGGUUGUAAAGUACUUUUGGCAGAGAAGCGGUAUCUGCAGAAUAAGCACCGGCUAACUACGUGCCAGCAGCCGCGGUAAUUC
rnacentral:rRNA from 1 species